rnacentral:hammerhead_ribozyme from 1 species
AUCUAGCCGACGAGUCCCAAAUAGGACGAAACGCGUGCUGAACUAGAU